CUGCUUCACAGGUAAAGCUGUAUCCGGCAGGUAACAAGCUGGACUUUGCACGGUAAUUUUGGCUGCCUUAUGGUACGAAUUUGACUUUUUCCAAAACAUGAAAGUUGUAGAGUCGUGCCUUAUCUUUCCAACCCAACUUGAAUCACCUCUAUCAAAUGUCUUCCGCUCACGUUAUGAUUAUUUUACCAACAGCUGCUUCUUGCUUGAGGCAGUCACUAUUUUUGACUUUUCAACAUUAUUUUCCUCCACUUGCUCCACUUGUAAUAAAUUGGAAAUACAUGUGAAAUACAUCAAAUAGAUACUCUUUCAAAUGUAUAAUACUCAUGCCGCCAUGUAUGUAAAUACGUAUUUCAAUUAAUUGCAUUUUUAACCAUGUAUUUAUGGAAAUUGAAUUUACGGCAAGAGAAUUGAAAUUAAAGACUAACAUUAGUGUUUUUAAACAAAGUGAAUGUAAAAUGCCUUGUAAAUGAUAUAUCUUUGAAGAACUUUUAGACACUAAUCAGCC
rnacentral:lncRNA from 1 species